rnacentral:rRNA from 1 species
UCAAGUGACUAAGUGCAUGUGGCGGAUGCCUUGGCGAUCACAGGCGAAGAAAGACGCGGCAGCCUGCGAAAAGCUGCGGGGAGCUGGCAAACGAGCUUUGAUCCGCAGAUAUCUGAAUGGGGAAACCCACACCGCAAGGUGUAUCCGUAGCUCAAUACAUAGGUUACGGAGGCGAACGAGGAGAACUGAAACAUCUAAGUAUCCUCAGGAAAAGAAAUCAACCGAGAUUCCGGCAGUAGCGGCGAGCGAACCCGGAGGAGCCCAGCUUUUGAUAGUACGAACUUUAGCCGAAAGGACCUGGAAAGGCCUGCUAUAGUGGGUGAUAGCCCCGUAGGCGAAAGAGUUGGUACGGUACUAAGGAAGCGAGAAGUAGAGCGGGACACGUGGAAUCCUGUUCGAAGACGGGGGGACCAUCCUCCAAGGCUAAAUACUCGUGAUCGACCGAUAGUGAACCAGUACCGUGAGGGAAAGGCGAAAAGAACCCCGGGAGGGGAGUGAAAUAGAACCUGAAACCGCAUGCAUACAAACAGUAGGAGCCUCAUCAGAGGUGACUGCGUACCUUUUGCAUAAUGGGUCAGCGACUUACAUUCUGUGGCGAGCUUAACCGAAUAGGGGAGGCGCAGCGAAAGCGAGUUCGAAAUGAGCGUCCAGUCGCAGGGUGUAGACCCGAAACCAGAUGAGCUAUCCAUGGCCAGGUUGAAGGUGUGGUAACACACACUGGAGGACCGAACCGACUAGUGUUGCAAAAUUAGCGGAUGAGCUGUGGAUAGGGGUGAAAGGCCAAACAAAUCUGGAGAUAGCUGGUUCUCCCCGAAAACUAUUGAGGUAGUGCCUCGUGUGUCGCUCCAGGGGGUAGAGCACUGUUUUGGCUAGGGGGACAUGGAGUCUUACCAAACCAAGGCAAACUCCGAAUACCUGGAAGCGUGAGCACGGGAGACAGAGCACCGGGUGCUAACGUCCGGACUCAAAAGGGAAACAACCCAGACCGCCGGCUAAGGUCCCAAAUAACAGCUAAGUGGAAAACGAAGUGGAAAGGCCGUGACAACCAGGAAGUUGGCUUAGAAGCAGCCAUCCUUCAAAGAAAGCGUAAUAGCUCACUGGUCGAGUCCUUCUGCGCGGAAGAUGUAACGGGGCUAAGCUGUUAACCGAAGCCGCGGAUGCACUGGUUAUCCAGUGCGUGGUAGGGGAGCGUUCUGUAAGUCUGCGAAGGCGGUUCGAGAGGACUGCUGGAGAUAUCAGAAGUGCGAAUGCUGACAUGAGUAACGUUAAAGCAGGUGAAAAGCCUGCUCGCCGUAAGCCCAAGGAUUCCUGCUCUACGUUCAUCGGAGCAGGGUGAGUCGGCUCCUAAGGUCAGGCCGAAAGGCGUAGCCGAUGGGAAUCAGGUUAAUAUUCCUGAACCUGCGUCAGAUGCGAUGGGGGGACGGAGCAUGGAAGAUCAUCCGGGUGUUGGAAGUCCCGGUUGUUGAGCGUAGGAGGUCUGCAGGCAAAUCCGCAGACGCAUCUCCAAGGCAAAGACACGUGCCGCCACGGCGGCGAAGUGAUCGGAAGUGCUUCCAAGAAAAGCCUCUAAGCACCAGUCUGACGCGGACCGUACCGCAAACCGACACUGGUGGGCGAGCUGAAUAUGCUCAGGCGCUUGAGAGAACUCGGGAGAAGGAACUCGGCAAAUUGACACCGUAACUUCGGAAGAAGGUGUGCCGUAGUACCGUGAGAGGAGAGACACCUUGAGCGGGAAACGGUCUCAGAGAAUAGGUGGCUGCGACUGUUUAUUAAAAACACAGCACUCUGCAAAGUCGAAAGACGACGUAUAGGGUGUGAUGCCUGCCCGGUGCUGGAAGAUUAAUUGAUGGGGUGAGAGCCCUUGAUCGAAGUCCCAGUAAACGGCGGCCGUAACAAUAACGGUCCUAAGGUAGCGAAAUUCCUUGUCGGGUAAGUUCCGACCUGCACGAA